AUUGAACGCUGGCGGCAUGCUUUACACAUGCAAGUCGAACGGCAGCGGGGGCUUCGGCCUGCCGGCGAGUGGCGAACGGGUGAGUAAUACAUCGGAACGUGUCCUUAAGUGGGGAAUAACGCAUCGAAAGAUGUGCUAAUACCGCAUAUCUCUCAGGAGGAAAGCAGGGGAUCGCAAGACCUUGCGCUAAAGGAGCGGCCGAUGUCUGAUUAGCUAGUUGGUGGGGUAAAGGCCUACCAAGGCAACGAUCAGUAGCUGGUCUGAGAGGACGAUCAGCCACACUGGGACUGAGACACGGCCCAGACUCCUACGGGAGGCAGCAGUGGGGAAUUUUGGACAAUGGGCGAAAGCCUGAUCCAGCCAUGCCGCGUGAGUGAAGAAGGCCUUCGGGUUGUAAAGCUCUUUUAGUUGGAAAGAAAGAAUUAUAGUUAAUAGCUAUAAUUUAUGACGGUACCAACAGAAAAAGCACCGGCUAACUACGUG
rnacentral:rRNA from 1 species